GAUGAACGCUGGCGGCGUGCUUAACACAUGCAAGUCGAACGAAGCACCUUGAUUUGAUUCUUCGGAUGAAGAUCUUGGUGACUGAGUGGCGGACGGGUGAGUAACGCGUGGGUAACCUGCCUCAUACAGGGGGAUAACAGUUAGAAAUGACUGCUAAUACCGCAUAAGACCACAGCACCGCAUGGUGCAGGGGUAAAAACUCCGGUGGUAUGAGAUGGACCCGCGUCUGAUUAGGUAGUUGGUGGGGUAACGGCCUACCAAGCCGACGAUCAGGAGCCGACCUGAGAGGGUGACCGGCCACAUUGGGACUGAGGCACGGCCCAAACUCCUACGGGAGGCAGCAGUGGGGAAUAUUGCACAAUGGGGGAAACCCUGAUGCAGCGACGCCGCGUGAGCGAUGAAGUAUUUCGGUAUGUAAAGCUCUAUCAGCAGGGAAGAAAAUGACGGUACCUGACUAAGAAGCACCGGCUAAAUACGUGCCAGCAGCCGCAGUAA
rnacentral:rRNA from 1 species